rnacentral:rRNA from 1 species
GACGAACGCUGGCGGCGUGCUUAACACAUGCAAGUCGAACGGAAAGGCCCUGCUUUUGUGGGGUGCUCGAGUGGCGAACGGGUGAGUAACACGUGAGUAACCUGCCCUUGACUUUGGGAUAACUUCAGGAAACUGGGGCUAAUACCGGAUAGGAGCUCCUGCUGCAUGGUGGGGGUUGGAAAGUUUCGGCGGUUGGGGAUGGACUCGCGGCUUAUCAGCUUGUUGGUGGGGUAGUGGCUUACCAAGGCUUUGACGGGUAGCCGGCCUGAGAGGGUGACCGGCCACAUUGGGACUGGGAUACGGCCCAGACCCCUACGGGGGGCAGCGGUGGGGAAUAUUGCACAAGGGGCGGAAGCCUGAUGCAGCAACGCCGCGUGGGGGAUGACGGCCUUCGGGUGGAAAACCGUUUUCGCCUGUGACGAAGCGUGAGGGGCGGUAAUGGGUAAAGAAGCACCGGCUAACUACGU